UGUGGGAGCUGGCUUGCCUGCGAUGCCGGCGGCUCGGUCUUUCAGGUAACCCGAGGCGAUCCCAUCGCAGGCAAGCCAGCUCCCACA
rnacentral:misc_RNA from 1 species